AGUGAACGCUGGCGGUAGGCCUAACACAUGCAAGUCGAACGGCAGCACAGUAAGAGCUUGCUCUUACGGGUGGCGAGUGGCGGACGGGUGAGGAAUACAUCGGAAUCUACUUUUUCGUGGGGGAUAACGUAGGGAAACUUACUCUAAUACCGCAUACGACCUACGGGUGAAAGCAGGGGAUCUUCUGACCUUGCGCGAUUGAACUAGCCGAUGUCGGAUUAGCUAGUUGGCGGGGUAAGGGCCCACCAAGGCGACGAUCCGUAGCUGGUCUGAGAGGAUGAUAAGCCGCACGGGAACUGAAACAGGGACAAGGCGACUAAGGGAGGCCGCAGUGGGCAAUGUUGGACAAAGGGCGCAAGCCUGACCCAGCCAGCCGGAGUGGUUGAAAAAGGCCUCGGGUUUGUAAAGCCCUUUUUUUGGGAAAGAAAAGCUGUCGGUUAAUACCAAGCUGUUGUGACGUUACCCAAUAAAUAAGCACCGGCUAACUUCGUG
rnacentral:rRNA from 1 species